rnacentral:sRNA from 1 species
CUGCAUACCUUGGUCUGGCUGCUGUGUCCCGGCCUCCUGGAGAAGGGGUGAAAAACAUGAACUUACAGGGCUUUGGGUUCCACGUGCAAGCACGUGAGUCAGACGUGGGAGGCUCCUGGACCCACCUGCCCUCUCAGUGGGUCCGUUGCAUGCUAUAAACAGUGAAAAGCAAAACAAAGCCGUUCAAAUACGGAUGCUCUUCUUACUUGAUGUGCAGUGUGGAGGGAGAGAAGAUAGGGAAGGGUUGGGGGGCCUGAGAACCACCAUUGUGACCCUAUUUCCAUUCUCUUUUUUAGGGAACAUUAAGCAAAAUCCCAAUACACAGAGUCUGUCACAGACAGGGACGGAGCUGAAGACCAUCAACGACUUUCUCUUCCAGAGCCGGAUCGACAACAUCAACCUGUUCAAGGUGCAGCGAUACUGUGAGAAGAGCAUGAUCAGCAGAAAGCUCUUUGGAUUCACUGAACGGUACGGAGCAGUGUUCUCAUCCCGGGAGCAGCCCAAACUGGCUGGGUUUCAGCAAUUCCUGCAGAGCCUGCAGCCCAGGACGACUGAAGCUCUUGCAGCCCCUG